UGCCAGACUCCUACGGGAGGCAGCAGUGAGGAAUAUUGGUCAAUGGUCGGGAGACUGAACCAGCCAAGCCGCGUGAGGGAGGAAGGUACAGAGUAUCGUAAACCUCUUUUGUCAGGGAACAAAGGCGGGGACGUGUCCCCGGAUGAGUGUACCUGAAGAAAAAGCAUCGGCUAACUCCGUGCCAGCAGCCGCGGUAAUACGGAGGAUGCGAGCGUUAUCCGGAUUUAUUGGGUUUAAAGGGUGCGUAGGCGGAAUGCCAAGUCAGCGGUAAAAUCGCGGGGCUCAACCUCGCUCCGCCGUUGAAACUGGCGUUCUUGAGUGGGCGAGAAGUAUGCGGAAUGUAUGGUGUAGCGGUGAAAUGCUUAGAGAUCAUACAGAACACCGAUUGCGAAGGCAGCUUACCAAGCUACUUCUGACGUUGAGGCACGAAAGCGUGGGGAGCAAACAGGAUUAGAUACCCCAGUAC
rnacentral:rRNA from 1 species